UACGGGGGGGGCAAGCGUUGUUCGGAAUUACUGGGCGUAAAGGGCUUGUAGGUGGCCAACUAAGUCAGACGUGAAAUCCCUCAGCUUAACUGGGGAACUGCGUCUGAUACUGGAUGGCUUGAGAUUGGGAGAGGGACGCGGAAUUCCAGGUGUAGCGGUGAAAUGCGUAGAUAUCUGGAGGAACACCGGUGGCGAAGGCGGAUCUCUGGGCCUUACCUGACGCUGAGGAGCGAAAGCGUGGGGAGCGAACAGG
rnacentral:rRNA from 1 species